rnacentral:rRNA from 1 species
UCCGUAGGUGAACCUGCGGAAGGAUCAUUACCGAAUGAACUGCACCUUCUUGUAGCGGAACCAUUGCCCAUGGCCGGAUGAUCAGAUCUGACAAAGGUUGGCCUAUUCCGAAUGGUUUCUGGUUGCUGCAGCAGGGCGCUGCUCAACGCUAACACCAAGGGGUUGGUGGGAUCAUUUUUGGCCAUUCUGGAUGUUGGAUGUGUACGGCUCUCUGGGCCCUUUGGUCUGCUACGCUCAUCAAACCCGUCAUUGUAUGUAUGGUGGGGUGGCAUCCACCGUUUGUUGGGUUGCCCCUCAAGUAUGUAAACAUGAAUAUAACUUUCAACAACGGAUCUCUUGGCUCUCGCAUCGAUGAAGAACGCAGCGAAAUGCGAUAAGUAAUGUGAAUUGCAGAAUUCAGUGAAUCAUCGAAUCUUUGAACGCACCUUGCGCUCCUUGGCAUUCCGAGGAGCAUGCCUGUUUGAGUGUCGUUGAAUUCUCAGAACCUUCUGGUUCGGAUUGGUGGAGGAUGCAUUGCAUUGCAUUGCAUUGCUUCUCUGGAAAUGGGGAUUGGGCCUGGCGGGCUGGCGAUUCACGGAACCUUGUCGGGGGUAUGGGAUGGAUAAUAAUGGGUCUUACCUGGCUUCCAACGUGUGCCAGCCAGGCCAGAUGGAGACGGAUCUAUCUACUACAAUUUGACCUCAAAUCAGGCAGGACUACCCGCUGAACUUAA